CUGAGGUAGCUUGCUUAGCCUGCCUGCCCUUGGGUCAGGGCAGCAAUGUCGAGAGAUAACCACUUCACCUGAGCCUGCUUCCCACAGAGAUGUGUUACAGUUCCCUUUCCCACACGCUCCUCCUUAGAGCAAAUAUGUGUCAACAUCCUAAUGGUCCCAAGAAUUUAUAAAUUAUAUAUAGACUGCCUGUAUCACCUUAUUUCUUCUUUGUCAAGGAUAUCUCAUUAGGAAAGAGGAAUGAAAACUGUAGGACUACCCACAAAUGAUGACUGAGUUAACAGAGCACUCAACGACUAAAGGAGCUGAAAAUAUGCAGGGAACUGAUGUGCUGGCACCCCAGAGAAGGAGAAAAGCUGCACCUCUUUCUUAUGUCGCAGAAACACUCCUCUGUGGACUGAAAGGUUGGAAGCUCAAGUGGAGAAAGCUCACUUGACAGGAAGCAGGCAAAUUGUCAUCUGCAGUCUAUUGAAGAAAAGAUUUGCAUUUUAUUCCUCCCUGGAGACAGGUUAUAAGAAAGAAGAAUUAGCAGGCAAAAUGGAGCAAG